GAACGGGUGAGUAACACGUGGGUGAUCUGCCCUGUACUUCGGGAUAAGCCUGGGAAACUGGGUCUAAUACCGGAUAUGACCACGAGAUGCAUGUCUUGUGGUGGAAAGAUUUAUCGGUACAGGAUGGGCCCGCGGCCUAUCAGCUUGUUGGUGGGGUAAUGGCCUACCAAGGCGACGACGGGUAGCCGGCCUGAGAGGGCGACCGGCCACACUGGGACUGAGACACGGCCCAGACUCCUACGGGAGGCAGCAGUGGGGAAUAUUGCACAAUGGGCGAAAGCCUGAUGCAGCGACGCCGCGUGAGGGAUGACGGCCUUCGGGUUGUAAACCUCUUUCGACAGGGACGAAGCGCAAGUGACGGUACCUGUAGAAGAAGCACCGGCCAACUACGUGCCAGCAGCCGCGGUAAUACGUAGGGUGCGAGCGUUGUCCGGAAUUACUGGGCGUAAAGAGCUUGUAGGCGGUUCGUCGCGUCGUUCGUGAAAACUUGGGGCUCAACCCCAAGCUUGCGGGCGAUACGGGCGGACUAGAGUACUUCAGGGGAGACUGGAAUUCCUGGUGUAGCGGUGAAAUGCGCAGAUAUCAGGAGGAACACCGGUGGCGAAGGCGGGUCUCUGGGAAGUA
rnacentral:rRNA from 1 species